rnacentral:rRNA from 1 species
UACGUAGGGGGCAAGCGUUGUCCGGAUUUAUUGGGCGUAAAGAGCGUGUAGGCGGCCAUACAGGUCCGUUGUGAAAACUGGAGGCUCAACCUCCAGCUGUCGACGGAAACCGUAUGGCUAGAGUCCGGAAGAGGCGAGUGGAACUCCUGGUGUAGCGGUGGAAUGCGCAGAUAUCAGGAAGAACACCAACGGCGAAGGCAGCUCGCUGGGACGGAACUGACGCUGAGGCGCGAAAGCGUGGGGAGCGAACAGG